rnacentral:lncRNA from 1 species
CCCUGGGAAAUGUAGUCGUUCUGUUCUGACGCAGUUGAAGAAGCUAUUGCUCCGUCCACAGCGAGGACAUCAAGUACCAUAAGGCCGCGGGGCGGAGAGCCUCCAUUCAACCGCUGCCAGUGACGACCCAGACGCCCUCCCACGCGCGGAUUGCGGAACCAGUGAGGCUGAGAUGGAGGGCUGGCACGGGGACAGACUAGAGUUUAUUAUCAAACCUCAAACGCCUGGGGCCAACUUGAGAUGAAGCAAUGGGAAGAGCCCAAAGAAAAG